rnacentral:rRNA from 1 species
GCCAGCCCGCUCAGAAACUUAAAGGAAUUGACGGGGCCCGCACAAGCGGUGGAGUAUGUGGUUUAAUCGAUGCAACGCGAAGAACCUUACCUGGUCUUGACAUCCCGGAGACCCUUAGGAAACUAGGGGGUGCUUCCAUCUGGAAGAAUCUGGAGACAGGUGCUGCAUGGCUGUCGUCAGCUCGUGUCGUGAGAUGUUGGGUUAAGUCCCGCAACGAGCGCAACCCUUGCCUUUAGUUGCCAGCAGUUCGGCUGGGCACUCUAAAGGGACUGCCGGUGUUAAACCGGAGGAAGGUGGGGAUGACGUCAAGUCCUCAUGGCCUUUAUGACCAGGGCUACACACGUACUACAAUGGCCGAUACAAAGGGCAGCGACACUGCGAGGUGAAGCCAAUCCCGUAAAAUCGGUCUCAGUCCGGAUUGGAGUCUGCAACUCGACUCCAUGAAGUUGGAAUCGCUAGUAAUCGUGGAUCAGCAUGCCACGGUGAAUACGUUCCCGGGCCUU